ACUACCCAACUGUCAUCUCUAGGAUUCUAUCAACAAUUUUCCUGAGCAAUGGACCUCAACCAGAAGGAAGCCUGUAACAUCUCAGAAGAGAUCAAAAUCCUGCAAUUCCAUCACAACUGGACUAAUACAUCUUAGAAGAUCAUAUUCCAAGUCAAUCCUGUCUGGACAAGAAUGCUCACCUACUGACUGCUGUGUUAAGAAGUGCAUUAUACUUUGAUAUGAAUGUACUUCUCUAGCAUACGAUGACACAGUUGUUACUGCUUUGGGCAAUGGAGAGUCACAUGGACUUGAGUUUGAAUCCUGUCUCUACUGCUUUCUAGUUGGGAGGGGAAAAAAGAACAUGUUCACCUCUACAGAUCAAAUAAAAUGUGAUGACACAGCAAUUACAUACGGCAGGAAGCAAAUUGGAAGCUUCUGAAAAUAGAAGAUGGAUUUCUGAGAAUGAGCUGACGUGAAUGGGCUUCUCUUCUCCGCAACUCACGAGUGCUAAUAACAAAGCCACAGUAAAUGACAAUGUUCUGCUUUCAAUUGUGACAUGACAUCCUUGAUGGCUACCAGGCAACAUAAUAUGGCGGUGAGGCUUGAUAGUAAGGUUUUGUUAGAAGACUCAUUGUCGAAGCCAUCAAGUUGCAGUUCCUGGUAUUCUUCACCGACACGUGCAUGCUGGUCUAAAAUGUCUAUUGGAGACUGGUGACGGCCUCCACAGCUCACACUCGAUGUAACCCAGUGCUCAGGACCAUAGGCACCUGUCAGGAGGAAACAAUAACUUCAAUCGUCAUGGUUUAAGAAUGACAGCUGGAACAAUUAAGACAUAGGAUGCUGACCACUGAACCUCUCAAGGUUCAUUUUUCUACCUAUAUCCACUCCAAAGGGGUCAGUACAUUGAAAAUUGUGGAUCCAAGCCAUUGUCUUCACUGGGCAACAAGAUUUAAGAAAAGAUAUGUUACUUAAGAUAGUUUUGCUUCUUGAUUUGUAAUCAAACAUUUGCUAACUCUAUGUGUAACCAGAUUAAGGAAUUUGAGCAGAAGGGCUGUCAGAGUUAUUCACAUUUAAAAAAAAUUUUUAAAUAGGUUUCCUAAAAUAAACAGCAUUUAUUCACAAGAAAACACCUUCAUCAAUUUAGCAUGUCUUGCUACUGCCAUCAGUGUACUAAACACAACUUUCUUCUUAGCUCUUGGGACUUUGCGAAUCAGAUAAGAAAAAUGUAAAAAUUCAAAAGCAAUGAAUGCAACACUAGAUGAAAAUCAUUACAAAUAAUGUAGGCAGUGAGGCAGGGUUUUCCUUUGGCUAACUGAAAAAAUUUUUUCAGUUUGUCCAGAUUUUGUGUACGUGUGUGUUAAGGUGCUUGCUUCUUCUCAGUCACUCUCUACAUAGGAGAUGGGAAUAUAGAUUACCUCCAGAUUGAACUCAGCACUCAUAAAUGAAAACUUUGGGGGGGAUGCAUGCCACAGAGAUUCAGGAAGAGAAUGCAAUUAUCAAGCAUAAUUCUAAAACAUGCCAAUUAGGCAAAGGUAGAGAAAACACUUCAACGGCUCCUUUGACCCAUUCAAAAAUGAAAUAUUCCAGGGGCAAUAUCUACUAAGUUGAUAACAAGCCACUGAGAUUUUUCAGCACCCUGCCAUUAACCUUCCUGGCAUAACAAAGCAGAAGUAACCUGUUGAAAAGAAACAUCUUUUGCCAUAAAGAAUAAGUCUCUAAUUCAGAAUUAGUUCUAGUAAAAGUCUGAAUUUAUAAUAUUUAGAAAUUAAAACAGAUUUCUCAAUCAAUAAAGUGAAGUAUAUGUAUAUACUUGCAUAUACAUGUACCUGUAUUACGAAACUCUCUAGCUUUAAAUUUUUCACACAUUAGAAGAGGAUGGUCAAAGCGAUACUAGGAGGCCAACACUGCGUCAACUUGCAUUUUCAUGUCGCACUCUGCACUUAUCCUUGUAUGAUGGGGGACACAGGGACAACAUAAGGCAAGUGCACCACCUGUGUCAAACCCACCAUCAGAAACUCAUUUGUCAUGGUUUUCCCCACCCCACCCUCCUUUGUCUAGUUCAGUGCGCAGCUGAUACAUAAACAGCAGUACCAUGAAAAAAAGGACAAACAGAAAAUCUUGGUUGUGUAAUGGAAGCUUCGUGAUUGCAAGAGCAAUUGAUAUAACUCCCUAAAAAUUAUUCAUAUUCUUUCUAUCUGGCAAAUGACUUGGCCUUGCUCUGUGCCUGGGUCUUUUUCCCUAAUCUUUAUCCCAAAUAGUAAGAUAAAAUAAACUAUCAGAAAAAACAUGUUCCGGAUUGAUGAAACAGUUAGAAGGCAUUUACAAGUGCCAUAACACUUUCCAAAAGAGUUAACACCAUCAUUUUCUUUACUGUAGGACUCUGACUAAAUUAAGAAAUGUCAAGGACUUUUCACUCAUGCAGUUUCACCUCUUGGUCAAAUUCCCUAAGACUGUGAUGAGUCAUAAAAGAACAGUCUGUGCCUCUGCAUAUAUUCAGGCCAAACUUCAUUUUCAUCUUCCGUCAACACAUUUGAAGGAAAAAAGUAGAGAAAGUGGACAUAAUAAG